rnacentral:rRNA from 1 species
UAAGGUAGUAGUAGUUAUGAUCUUGAAACUUAAAAAAUUUGGCGGUAUUUUAGUCUAUUCAGAGGAACCUGUUUUAUAAUCGAUAAUCCACGAUGGACCUUACUUAAAUUUGUUAUCAGUUUAUAUACCGUCGUUAUUAGAAUAUUUUAUAAGAAUUUUAAUUUUCAUAAUUUUAUAAAAGAAAAUAUAUCAGAUCAAGGUGUAGCUUAUAUUUAAGUAAAAAUGGGUUACAAUAAAAUUAUUUAUAUGGAUAUAAAUUUGAAAUAUUUAUUGAAAGUGGAUUUGAUAGUAAAAUUAUAUAGAUUAAUAAU